rnacentral:rRNA from 1 species
UACGUAGGGUGCAAGCGUUAAUCGGAAUUACUGGGCGUAAAGCGUGCGCAGGCGGCUUUGCAAGACAGAUGUGAAAUCCCCGGGCUCAACCUGGGAACUGCCUUUGUGACUGCAUGGCUAGAGUACGGUAGAGGGGGAUGGAAUUCCGCGUGUAGCAGUGAAAUGCGUAGAUAUGCGGAGGAACACCGAUGGCGAAGGCAAUCCCCUGGACCUGUACUGACGCUCAUGCACGAAAGCGUGGGGAGCAAACAGG